GGGAACUUGAGUGCAGAAGAGGAGAGUGGAAUUCCACGUGUAGCGGUGAAAUGCUAUAGAGAUGUGGAGGAACACCAGUGGCGAAGGCGACUCUCUGGUCUGUAACUGACGCUGAGGAGCGAAAGCGUGGGGAGCGAACAGGAUUAGAUACCCUGGUAGUCCACGCCGUAAACGAUGAGUGCUAAGUGUUAGGGGGUUUCCGCCCCUUAGUGCUGCAGCUAACGCAUUAAGCACUCCGCCUGGGGAGUACGGUCGCAAGACUGAAACUCAAAGGAAUUGACGGGGGCCCGCACAAGCGGUGGAGCAUGUGGUUUAAUUCGAAGCAACGCGAAGAACCUUACCAGGUCUUGACAUCCUCUGACAAUCCUAGAGAUAGGACGUCCCCUUCGGGGGCAGAGUGACAGGUGGUGCAUGGUUGUCGUCAGCUCGUGUCGUGAGAUGUUGGGUUAAGUCCCGCAACGAGCGCAACCCUUGAUCUUAGUUGCCAGCAUUCAGUUGGGCACUCUAAGGUGACUGCCGGUGACAAACCGGAGGAAGGUGGGGAUGACGUCAAAUCAUCAUGCCCCUUAUGACCUGGGCUACACACGUGCUACAAUGGACAGAACAAAGGGCAGCGAAACCGCGAGGUUAAGCCAAUCCCACAAAUCUGUUCUCAGUUCGGAUCGCAGUCUGCAACUCGACUGCGUGAAGCUGGAAUCGC
rnacentral:rRNA from 1 species